rnacentral:misc_RNA from 1 species
UCAUACUCAACGAAGACUUCUUCUCUGUCUUCUAUAUCCUGGGAGAUUCUGAUCAGAUAGAGGGCAGGGGAUUUAUUUGUUUAAAAAUCGUUUCAUUCUCUGGAAUCCUCUCUCUUUCACCUUGAGUAACUUUGUCGUCGCUGCAGGUAAUCUUUCAUAAUUCUCCUUGUUCUGAACUGAAUCACAUCACUCCUGGUUGAUUUUCUAUAUAUGUAUUUGUAUUGAAAUAUUCUGUUUAGAAUUCUGAAUCAUUAGAGAAACAAAAUUGCCCUUUCACUGCGUAUAUGGUAUAUUUCAUCCGCCUUUUCUUCUUUUGUAAUUUAUUGAAGCAUCUAUUGAUGGCUGUUACUAUUCGUCAAAUGUCUCUAAUUGUUGCCACUCUGGGGGUACUAUCGUUCAUUUUUGGGAUAAUCGCCGAAAAUAAGAAGGUAUUGAUCUCCUACGUUUAAUUUAGUUGGACCCUUUUCUAUUUGGUGUUUGCCUUUUCCUUUUAUUUUGUUGUUCACGUGAAUGUUUUUGUUUCAUUUUUUUUAUAUAAUAUAUAUUUUUGGGUGGGUUGGGGUUUUAUAGCCUGCAGCUGGAAUUCCCAUCAUUGGUAAAGGUGGUGUUAUUUGCAAGUAUCCAUCUGAUCCUACAAUUGUAUUGGGAUAUCUCUCUUUUACAUUCCUCGUAGCAUCUGCAGUGGCUGGGUUUCUGUCUCUAUUUUAUCCUUACAAAGGAAAAUCUGUCCCGCAGUCUGCAAUGUUUGGAAGUACCAGUUUCCUUGUAUUCUUCAACAUUGCCUUGUAAGCAUAAAUUUAUCAUUUUGCAAUUACAAUGUUAUAUCUACUGUGUCUAUUUUGCAUUGUUGUUAUUGCAUGGCCCACAGGGAAGUACCCAUCCACUUCUCUAGAUCAAUAGUGGUUAUGGGUUAUUUCUAGUCUAAAUGCUGUUUCAUAGCAAAACACUGAGAGGUUGGUUUAUUCGGAUUGCCUUAUAAUGGGCGAAAAAUACCAUUUUUCUCUUUUGAUUGCUCUUUUUCCCCCCUUCCCCUUUUAUCAAAUAUUAAAUGGAUUUUUGUUGGUCUCUGAGACGUGUUUUUGUGGGUACCUAUUUCAGGUUUACGGCGGGAUUAGCAGCUGCUUUGUUGUUGUGGCCAACAAUCACAGAGCAGCUUCACUUGAAUCGGAAAGUUCAUCACAAUCUCAAGACAGAUUGCCCCACUGCUAAGACGGGUCUCCUCGGGGGUGGUGCUUUUGUUUCUCUUGAUUCAACCCUCUUUUGGUUAGUUUCCCUUAUGUUAGCUGAUAAUGCCCGAGAGGACUACUUUGACGAGGUAGAGAAAGAUUGCAAGGGUGAACAUGGGCAAGUUCUUGCAGAUGAUUACAAUGUACCUGCACAUCUCAAGGGCACUGCAUAAAAGCAGAAUGGCCUGAACCGAACUGUGUCUUUGGUUUUACAAAUUUCCAUAUCCAACUCUAUAAAAUGGGAUUCUCUAGUGUAAAUAUUGCUUUAGUCACUGAUUUCUAUUUUGUUUUUUCACCUACUGUGUGGGUUUUGGUUAUGUUUGUGAUAGAUUAUGGAUUUAAAUUUCAAAAUUCCAUCUGAAUUAUUGCUUUUUUAUG